rnacentral:rRNA from 1 species
GAUGAACGCUAGCGGCAGGCCUAAUACAUGCAAGUCGAACGGUGUCUUCGGACAUAGUGGCGCACGGGUGCGUAACACGUAUGCAACCUACCUUACAUUGGGGGAUAGCCUUUCGAAAGGGAGAUUAAUACCGCAUAAGACAGUAGCUGGGCAUCCAGCAGCUGUUAAAGAUUUAUCGAUGUAAGCUGGGCAUGCGUCCAAUUAGCUAGUUGGUGAGGUAACGGCUCACCAAGGCAAUGAUUGGUAGGGGAACUGAGAGGUCAAUCCCCCACACUGGGACUGAGAUACGGGCCAGACUCCUACGGGAGGCAGGAGUAGGGAAUAUUGGGCAAUGGACGCAAGUCUGACCCAGCCAUGCCGCGUGCAGGAUGAAGGCGUUAUGCGUUGUAAACUGCUUUUAUACAGGAAGAAACGACUCUUGCGAGAGGCAUUGACGGUACUGUAUGAAUAAGCACCGGCUAACUCCGUGCCAGCCGCCGCAGUAACAC